rnacentral:rRNA from 1 species
GACGAACGCUGGCGGCGUGCUUAACACAUGCAAGUCGAACGGAAAGGCCUGCUUUCCCUUGUGGAUUGCGGGUACUCGAGUGGCGAACGGGUGAGUAACACGUGAGUGAUCUGCCCCCAACUUGGGUAUAAGCCUGGGAAACUGGGUCUAAUUCCCGAUAGGACUGCAGGGUGGUGCCUGUGGUGGAAAACGAUUUUCUAGUGGUUGGGGAUGAGCUCGCGGCCUAUCAGCUUGUUGGUGGGGUAAUGGCCUACCAAGGCGGCGACGGGUAGCCGGCCUGAGAGGGUGGACGGCGACAUUGGGACUGAGAUACGGCCCAGACUCCUACGGGAGGCAGCAGUGGGGAAUAUUACACAAUGGGCGGAAGCCUGAUGCAGCGACGCCGCGUGGGGGAUGACGGCCUUCGGGUUGUAAACUCCUUUCGACCGCGAGGAAGCCACCUGGUUGGAAGGGUGGUGACGGUAGUGGUAGAAGAAGCACCGGCUAACUACGUG